ACAUACAGAUACAGAUACUUUAAUUGAUUGAGAGUGGAGAGAUCAUGGAGUGCAAGAAGGUUGGUUUGCUUCUCAUGGUGGCCUUGCUCGUAGUGGCCACUGUUCCUCAUUCCACGGUUGCUGCGAGGCAAGUUCCACUCUUAAACAUCAUGUUUGCUGAUGAAAUCAAUGAACGCUGUCUCCAUGAUGGCCAACGAUGCGAUAGAAAGGCUUGUUGUGCUAAUUUCGUUUGCGUACAAAAACAACAAGAUAAUGUCUGUGUACCAGAAAAAAAGGGUGAAGAAGAUGGGUGGUGAAGGUUUAAGAAACAUGGUGGGAUGCGCUGUUGUGUUUCUCGUGGUCUGUGCUUUCUUCUUCUUCUAGUUGUGUGUGCCUUUUUCUUCUUUUUUUCCCUUCAAGUGCUGUGGCUUGUUAAGUGUGGCUUUUUCAUGGCAUGUGCUUGUUAUCGCCGAUGUAUUAACUAGUAUGUGAAAUAAGAAAUAAAAAAGCGUUUGAACUAUUUCAUUAGAUAUCGCCAUGCAUGGGAGGUUCCUCUCUCGCGUUGGAUAUGGACAUAUUGUGCUGCAAAUGACUCGAGUCACGUUUUAAAUGUUUGAACUAAGCUCGUUUAAGUUGCUUAGCUUGAUAUUGAGCUUAUAAACGAAUUAGAUUUACACUUUAACAUACUUGCAAAAAUCUGCGAGAGCUUCUGCUAUUGAUCUGAUCAUCUGAUGAUAAUAACUUCUUCUCUUUUUUCUUUUUCUUUUUCUUUUUUAUAAUGAUUAAGUGUGAUAAUUUAAAGAUAGUUAUUUAGAAGAUUGUGACUUGAAUGGCCGAUAAGAAAUUAACUUGCUGGAAAAUAAAGUUAGGAACAAAAUAAAAUCAAUCUCGUUAAAAAUUAUCCAUAAAAAUAAUGGUCGUUUUCAGUACCAGAUUGUUAAGAAUUUUAAACAAAAUCCACCUGAAGCCAAAUUAUUCAUCUCCACAUAAGAGAACGGUAUCAAUAUUUUACUGUAAUAAUAAUAAUUAAAAGGAAAAAACAGAGAGAGAAGCAUAGUAAAAAGGGCACCACAACUUUAAAAACCCAAUUAAUAAUACAUGCGGAAGUUAAUAUAUAAGUCAACAAUUACAUGAAGAAAAAAUUAAUGGGCCAAAAAAGUUAUAAUUAUAAAUAUGUAAUUUUAUUUUUAAAUUUAAAUAAAUGGUGGUGGAUUUUCUAGAGCUUUACAAGCAUUUAAAUAAGCUAGAAAAAUCUAUCUCUACUAAGAAAUAAUCUAAAAACUCCUAUGAAAAUAACAAAAUUGACUCAAAUGAUAAUUUAUAGGCCUAAUUUCAAAAGAUUCAACGGCAGGGAAAAUUAUUUGUAAAAUUACUUAGAAAAUUUGAAGCUCGAUCUAAUUAUUAAACUUUUCAUUAUCUCAGUUUUAAAAUGUAUAUAUAAUUUAACAUGAUUAGAUUUACUCUUAGACCUAGACAUAUUUACUGAUACAUAACAAACAUGUAUUAAGCUAUUUACAUAGUUUUCUUGAGUCAAAUUCUCACCUCAUAGUAUACAAUUCUCACCUGAAUACUCAAAACAUUCGGUCUCUGUAAACUCGAGUGCAUCAACUACUCCCAUGUUGGUUUUCUUUGGGGGGUUUAGUUUUUAGUCUUAAUUAACUUCUUUCACCUAUUAUGUUAUGGGGAUAAUUGCACUUAGGGCAUCAAUUUUAUAUUUUUCCUCGAUUCGAGUAUAUGAAUUCUAAUUUUGUUUCAUUUUGAGCACACUGAUUUUUUUAAAAAAAUUUCAAUCUAAUGCUUCCAUUUACCUUUUAUCAAUUUUUCUGUGAUAUAUCAGUUGUCCUUCAAAAACUCUAUUGAUAUUCCGACUUUCAUUUAUGUAAAUCAAAUCCAUGAAUUUCUUUUUUAUACACCAACAUUUUUUACUGCUCCAGUCAAGUAAUUUAGUAUAUAAAAAAAAUUUCUCCACUUUCCGGUUGCACCAUCACCAGAAACCCAAUGGUCCAAUUUCAUUUCCCGCCAAAUAUUGCUAUUACAGAAAUCUCACGAACCACCAACAACCGUACCAGACAAACAUUAUUAUUAGCAAACAACAGAAGCUAGAACCAAUGUUUUCUGUCCACGGUCACUAAAAGCAAAAGGCUGACCAGUUCACUAAUUCGAUCUGUGAGUGUUAGAUCAAGAUUAUAUCUUGAAGUACUGAUCAAUGGGGCUCCUGGACUAUUCUUUUCGCCACUGGAGCUUUCGGCAUCUGGCUUGCCAAUCCAAGCAAGGCAGGUUUAUGGUCUUUUCUAGCACGUACUUCCUUCAAUCUGAAUGUUCUGUGGAUCCAAUCUCUGUUGAUUAUGCUUUGUUGUCAAAAGUAUCGGAUGCUUCAGAUCUGGUCUGAAUUCUUGUUUUUUUUUCAGGUCAGAAGGGACCAAGAUUGGAAGUGCAUUGAAGGGUGCAUCAGUGAGUGCUUCACUUGGGCUAGCAGCUAGUAGUUUGGGGAUUAUUUCUUUUGAAUCUCCUGCUUAUUCUAUGCUAUUGGAGUUUCUGUUUCCAUUGACAAUUCCACUAUUGCUGUUUAGAGCUGAUUUGCGUCGCGUGUUUACGUCUACUGGGAUAUUUCUUCUGGCUUUCUUGAUAGGAACAGGUAAAAAUCAGAUUUUUUUUUAGUAUGAAAAUCAGCUAAAAAACUAUUGGGUUUGAUUCUGAAAUGGGAAUUUGUUUGCGGGUUUUCUAUGUUAUCUGAUUAGAAGAUGGGUUUUGAGGGGUUUGUUGAUGGUUUUGUUGUGUGACAGUUGAAAAAAUAGUUAGAACAAUAUUGGCCUGUAUGAUGGUACCGAUUCUGGAUAGCGUGGCUAUAGCAGCUGCAUUUCCAACCCAGUUCAAUCUCCUUGCACCAUCUGGUGAGGCUUUGGCUAUGAUUCUGACACAGGUGAGCUGAGAUUUACAGGAUUUCUAUUUAGUUAGUUCAUUUGCGUCACCCGUUGAUCAUUGGAUCACUCAACCUGAUAGGAUUAUUAAUCACAACAGAAAAACAAAAACAACUACAUAUAAAAAAAAGUUUCACUGUAAUAGAAACAGUGCGGUUUGAAGAACUUUCGAAAUAAUCUCAAGACUACAUCAACUAUAUUUUAUAAUCCUAAAAACAUACUGCGUCAAGUAAUCACAAAAGGUCCCUAACGGCUAAAAGAGCCCCUGUGGCCCAGCAUUUUGAUAUCUGUUCUUGUUCAGGUUGCCAUUCAUCUUGUUGUGAUCCUCGGAAAGCUAUUUUGAUUCGACCAAAAGCCGUUGCUGAUUGCUUCAAAUGCUAAUAUUGGAGGCCCGACAACCGCAUCUGGAAUGGCCAAUGCUAAAGGGUGGAGUACUUCUUUGGUUGCUCCUGCCAUUAUUGCUUACAUUUUUGGAAAUUUUUUGGAAUUUUUUAUUUUCUUUGUUUUGGGAGAAACAGCUUGCUGGUGUAUUCUUAUUGUUCUUGCGCAUUAUCAUUCCCCCUUGUAUCCUUCGCCAAGAGGUGUUGCUGUUAUUAAUCACAAUAAUGAGCAUCAUUAGACCUGUGUGAGAUUAAUUGUUACUGCAAAAUUCUACCAUGUUUACAUGAAUAAUUUAAUAAUAUUCUUGUAUAAUAUUUAAUCUCUUAAUAUAUCCUUUCGUCACUGUUUUUUCUUUCUAAAAUGGUAUAAUUAAUUAUAUUUUUUUAUUAUGAAAAUCCUCUUAAGCUAUACGAGGAUUUAAAUUGGUAUAAUUUUCUUGUGGUUAAUUUCUUCCAUUUCUCUCUUUGGUAGUUUUGAUCAUUGGUACUCAGAUGUAAAUCUUGUGGUUAAAGUUGUACUGUAACUUCCAUCUUCACUUCCUCCUCCUGUCUUUGCCUCCUCUUGUCUCCCUCUGACCUCAGCAGCAACUCUUCAAUGGCUUCAAAACCUCCAUUUCUCCACUCACCGGCAGUCCCAUCACCGGAAACCCACCGGACACAUUCCAUUCCCCUCCACAAUAUUCUUACUGCCACCACCAACCCCAUCUGAUAAACAUUACUGUCAGCAAAGAACAAGAACAAGACAUCAUUUCCUUCUCCUCAAUUGAAUCCUCUAAAGACCCAAAUUUGGUUCGAUCAUCUGUUACUGUUUGGUCCAAUCUGAAUCUGAAUUUCCCUCUUAUUCCUCCUACUGGUCCAUGGGGUUACCUGGACUGCUCUCUUUGCCACUGGUGCUUUCGGGAUCUGGGAAUUCACCACCCCUUUUCUUGCUUUUUAAUUAUGAUAUUUUGGUGUUGGUCGCGAUCCUGCAAUCUGGGCCUUCGUUGAAUUCCGUUUGCAUGAAUCCGGGAUCCCACGUAUAGUUGUAAUAGCUUAGGCCCAUUGGAUGUUGCUGUUGAAAUUGGAAAGACACUUGAGAGUUGAGACCGCAUUACCAAACAAUUUUUUUAUUAUUAUUAUUAAUUUUAAAUUAAUAUAUUUUUAAUGUUUUUAAUUUAUUUUAAUAUGUUUAUAUUAAAAAUAAUUUUAAAAAAAUAAAAAAAAUAUUAUUAACAUAUAACUUAACAUAAAAUAUUAUUUAAAAAAGUCCAAGCCACGGGAAAAACAAACUCUAAAGCGCACCGGGUUUUGGAGACACUUCUCAUAGAUAAAGCAUCACCCUCAAUCAUAACCAGGUAACAAUCACAAAGGACAAUACCUUUGUAUAUUCAUAGGUUGUCGUCAUGUGAGUCUCUUCGGUUUGGCCACGUGAGCAUCUCUGCAAAAAAACCCAAACAAACAGGUUAACCCUCCAAAGAUGUAUCACUUCACUGAGAAUCUCUCUCUUAAACACCUUCCAUUAAUGGCUUCUCCAACACUAACACCUUAUCUCCCUCUCUCCCCCUCAUCAAGAAUACUGUUACACCAGUCACCCCCCUUUUCAGCCCUUCAUGACUCCCUCCACCUCACUUCUUCAAAAUCUACACCUUUAUCUUCUACAAUACAAGGCCUCACAAGAGCUGCAAACCAAUUCAAUCAGUAAAAGUUUGUUCGCAGUUGAGGUAUCCCAUCAUUUCUCCAGAUGACCAUUGGGGCACCUGGACUGCCCUCUUUGCUACAGGGGCUUUUGGUAUCUGGUAAUUAACUAACUUGCUUCUGUGUCACAUAUUUCAUGUCUGUUUAUCACAGUUGUUGAUGGCGUGGUCACGUGGGCCCUAAACUAAGGACCCACCUUAGAGAAGAUUGUCACGGUUGUGUGAGUUAGACUAAUGUUGUUCUUGGAUUGGUAAAAAUGAACAUUAAUGGUGGGUUUUGAUUGUUUUUGAAGGUCUGAGAGGACAAAAAUUGGGAGUAUGCUGAGUGCGGCCUUGGUGAGCAUAUUGGUUGGACUUGCAGCUAGUAAUGUAGGAAUCAUUCCUUAUGAAGCAAGAGCAUAUUCAGUUGUGUUGGAGUAUCUGCUACCCCUAACUAUUCCUCUGCUGUUGUUCAGAGCUGACUUGCGGAAUGUGUUUAGAUCAACUGGGACUUUGCUCUUAGCUUUCUUGCUUGGUUCAGGUUUGUUUUUCCUCUUAACUAUGUGUAAUUGUAUUCAAAUUUCUCAAUCAAGCGUCAUUUCCUGUAUAUAUCAUGUAAAUUUAUCUCCUAAGGUACCUAAAUAGUUUUGCUUAUACACAGAAAGAAUAGGAUUUUCGUAUUGAGAUUUGAAGUUUAGAAUGUUAAGGAUUAGGUGUGGUUGUUACUGGAGGCAACAUCAUGAAUCCAGGGUCAAAAUGUAUGAGAUUUAUGUGAAGAAUGAUCAGUCUUAGUUUCAUCAAAUCAAAGAGUCUAAUACGUAUCAUCUUGGAUGUAAUCAAGGUUAGCUGAUGGAAGCAGUAGGAUCCUAGUGUUUGACUGAAGGUGCCCAUGUGUUCAAACAUCAUAACUGAGAAGAAGAUUGUGAGAGAGUAAUUAUUGUCAGUUCAUGUAAGUUCCUCCAUGUCCAUGUGAUUUUUUCUUUUAAUCUAAAAUCAAUUCGCUUUUAAUUUUAUGGUAGAGUCCGUGUGUGAAUCAUUGUAUGAUGACUGGCAUCUUGUAAGGAGCUAGCGCUGCAUAUCUCAACUCUACAGUCUGUCGUGGCAUGUGAUGUUUUACCAGCAUCCGCUGCUUUAUAGCCCACGGCAUGCAACUGAACCAAAACUGAAUGGUCUUUGCUGAACAAGACAUCGAUUUUGUUUCAAUUAUGAAAUUCUUCCCGUUGGCUGAAUGUCUUCAGCUUGCUGUCGAGCCAUAUGUUGUCCUAGCAUGUAUCAAGGUGCUAAGUAACUUCUGCUAAUUACAGAUUUAUCAACUGGUGAAAAUGUAAUUUGUGUUCAAAUAAUUCCUUCCGUGUGGUCCUGUGAAAUUUACCGCUGUCUCAUAAGUGCCGUUACUCCCAAUGCUCUGCUGUCUUCAGACUCUCUGUACAUUGCUUAUGUGGAUAUUGAAUGGAAACGUGUGAAUGUAACUUUGGCUAUUAAGCUCUAUAUAUUUUCAUUUUCUUUCUGUCUUUUUAUGCUCUAAUUUCCUUUGAUUUUUGGUAACUUCAUUCUUCCAUUUUACAGUUGCAACUGUGAUUGGAACUUUAGUUGCCUUUCUGAUGGUGCCUAUGCGAUCACUUGGCCAAGAUAAUUGGAAAAUAGCUUCUGCUCUCAUGGGGAGUUAUAUUGGUGGAUGUAAGUUGUUGCAUCUUCAUAAUUGGCCUGCUGAUCAUACUGCUGUGCUGCCUGCUUAUUUUGAUUGUACAUUGUUUCCUUUGUCAUUGUAGCUGUUAAUUAUGUUGCGGUUACAGAGGCACUUGCUGCUUCUCCAUCAGUUGUGGCUGCAGGAGUUGCCGCGGACAAUGUAAUCUGUGCUAUAUACUUCAUGGUAUUAUUUGGAUUAGCCUCUAAAAUACCUCCUGAGGUUUCAACCUCAACUAAAGGUAUGUAGUAACUUCUCACCUAAUUUCUUGGAACAGUCUUUAACUGUUUAUUAAGGAAACAAAAUGGCACAACCAAAUGGACAUGUUUUAUUGAUGGUUAAAAGAGUUCCUAAUCAUACCAGAACCUGACACUUUGGCAGGUGCUGAAGUGGAUUUGUCAUCCAAUUCAGAAGGCAAAGUCCCUGUGCUACAGACUGCUGCUGCACUUUCUAUCUCCUUUAUGAUAUGUAAGAUUGGCACGUAUCUCACGCAACUUUGCAAGAUUCAAGGAGGUACUCUGCCAGCAGUAACAGCUAUUGUUGUCUUUUUAGCAACAUUAUUUCCAGCACAAUUUGGUUAUCUUGCUCCUGCUGGCGAUACUCUUGCUAUGGUUCUGAUGCAGGUAAAAAACGUUGUAUCUAGUUUUGUUUAUUGGUGCCUUAUAAGUGUCACUUUCAAGAGCUUGCCCCUUAAUAUCUUUGUUGUUUCUGUACUUAAGCUGCUUUUUUUGUUGAUUCCAGGCUCCUAAUAAUUACCCCUUAUAGAUUGAUCAAGGUGUUAUCUUUUUCUUGGAUAUUUUCUCGUAGAUGAUUUUUUAAAUGAUUUGUAUGCACAUAGGAUAAAGCAUGCUCAUAAAGUGAAAGAAAGAAAGUCAUAGCUCUAUAGGAGUUUUGAGGCUAUGAAGGGCAAGGGUAGAAAGAAAUACAUUGCCUCUUGGUUUCAUUUUGGACAUAAAAAAAUAUGGCAUGCGUGUGUAAAGUUGCAAAUUGUUUAAGGAUAACCUUUAAGUCAAUGACUCUAAACUGGUUAUUAAUAUUGUUGAAGAAACACCACUCAAUUUUCUUAUCUGAAAUUGCUGUCUGUUGUCGAUAGCAUUGACCUCUUGUUCUUUUAUCUCAAAAAUGUGCCGCCCUUGAGUUUCUGAAUGCUUAAUAAUCCCCACUUACCUGUAUCUGAAAAUUUGAACUUGACAUUACUGUUGAAGGAUUCCAAUUUCCAGCGAUAAGCACAGGAUAUCUCACUUUUGUACAUUGGCUGCUUUUUCCAACAGGUAUUUUUUGCUGUAGUUGGUGCUGGUGGGAGCAUAUGGAAUGUCAUCAACACAGCACCAAGUAUAUUCUUAUUUGCUCUAGUUCAAGUAACUGUUCAUCUUGCUGUGAUUCUUGGAUUUGGAAAGCUGUUGCGCUUUGACUUAAAGCUAUUACUUCUAGCAUCGAAUGCCAACAUCGGAGGCCCUACGACAGCAUGUGGAAUGGCCACAGCCAAAGGAUGGGGUUCUCUGGUAGUUCCUGGAAUUCUUGCAGGCAUUUUUGACAGAUAGAAUGCAGGAUCUUGUUGUUGAAGUAACUGGAAAAAAAGAGAUAUAAACAGAGAAGGAUGCAGAUAAGAAGAUUUCAAGGAAAAAUAUAUCAGUCAUGCAUUUCCAUGCUCUGAUACCAUGAUACGAAUUGAGUUUUACUCUUCGAAGUUAUUCACAUUCUUUGUAUAUUGAAUUCAUGAUAAUAAUCCAUCAAUUACAUCUGCCUUUUAUAAAGCAGUAGGCAGUAAAAAGCUAUUAUAGAAAGUAAAGCUAUUAAUGGAAAGGCUCCUAUAAUUCCGGCUAUAAUUUCGGUCUGUUACAAACAGAUAUAAAUAUAUUAUGUAUAGCUAAUAGUAAAAUAAAACUAAUAUAAUAUUUAACAACUUUGACCUUUAUAUUAUAACCUUCAAACCAACUAGGAUUCUAAUUAACUAACCUAACUAGUAGAUUACACAUUUCUAGGAUAGAAAAUACAAGUAGUAUAUAUAUGCAAACUAGAAAUAUCUUUUCCUCCUAAUCAUCUCCUCUCAUUGUUAGCUAAACUGCUAGCUCACUUUCUAUUUUAUUAUUAUUUUUUUUAAUCCUAGCCAUGGGUGCUUACUGCUCUAUUUCUAUGUUAUCUACUAGUCAAGGGGCCGAGUAGCGACGGUGGAGUGGCAACAUGAUUAAAGAAUCCUUGAUUUGAAUGGUCUAAUUCAAAAGGUUGCUAGACUAAAACAUAAAACUUUUUUAAAAGUAUAGGGUGGCAUGGCCCAAAGGCUCUUCCAGAGAGCUCUGCUUUGGCUCGUCUAAAUAAUAAUUUUAAGAUGAAUUUAUGAUCAAUGGCUACGAUAUAUCUAGCUAGCUUGAGUGCUUCACACAAAAUUUCCCAUAAAAAAUGAUAACCACUUUUCUUCUAUUGUUUGAAUAAAACUCAAAUAAAGGUUUACGAGGAUUAGAUUUAAGGGUAAAUUUAAUUGUUAAUUAAUAGGGUAAUCAAUAUUACCCCCAUUUCCAGAAAAAAAUUCUAAUCGUUUAAUUAUAUAUCAUCCACAGUGAGACAAUAUUUGAAUCUUUUAAAUUCUUUAGAGACUUAUGGCAUGGAAGUAAUCUUUUUAAUUCAUUAGAGACUUCUGGCAUGAAAGCAAUGUUCUAGUUUUUUUUUUUUUAGGAAAAAAAACUUUAUUUUUUUAUUGUUUUGAAAUGUUUUGUACAUUAGUUGGAUAUUUUUUUUAUUUUUUUCUUUCUUGACUUGAUUUUGUGUAGAAAAUAAAAGUAUUUAUUAUGACUUAUCUUGACCAUAUUACUCGGUUAUUUAUUUACCAAAGAAUCCUCUCAACUUAGAAAAUUAAAAUAUUAAGUGCAGAUUUCAUAAUUUUAAUCUAAUCUUCGGCGUAUCCCUUAAAGUAAAGAUUUAAAAAUUGGUCAAACCCAUCCUUGCUUGGUAUUAAUUUGCAUGAUAGGAAGGAUUCGUGAUUAAUAAAACUUUUAUAUCAUAUUAAAUAAUUAUUUGAAUAAAAAAAUUAAAUUAUUAAGAAGGUUUUUGAAAAUGAUUUUAUAUUAUAUAUUAAUAAUUCGGAAUCGAAUUAUAUGAUAUUGAAAAGAUGGAAUACUUGUACAGGACAGGCUUGCAAUCAUCAAUGAAAAGGUCUACCUUUCAGCUCUUUAUAAAGGUAUUCAAUAACACCAACUCUAAAAAGAUGAUAAAGGACGUCACUAACGAGAUAAUGUUCGUCCCCUUGGGUGGAUUGAUGGCCAACUUACUAUUCAAGAGCUUGCCUCAAACUAAAAAAAAAAAAAAACUUUCGUUCAUAGAAGACGCGCUCGCGCUGCUCACCUUGUGUGUUGGCUCUGUCGAAACUGGAGGAGCCACUGCUGCAGCAUGCUACCCCCGGCAAAGGAAAGGCCUGCCGCGAGGGGGGCGGCCGAUGCUAGACGGUAUAUAUAUGCUCUCGUGCUGCUCACCUCGGGCGUUGGCUCUGUCGAAACUGGCGGAGCCAGCGCUGCGGCAUGCUACGUACCCCCGGCAAAGGAAAGGCCCGCCGUGAGGGGGUUGGCCGAUGCUAGUAUAUUUAAAAAUAAUAUAAAUAAUAUUUUAGAUUGAAACUUAAUUAAUAGUACUGUAAGAUUAAUGACAAAUACAGGUUAUUAUAAGUGAAACAAUACUCGUUAUUAUAUUAAUCUAAUAUGUAAAUUCUAUUGGAAAAGGAUAUAUAAUUAUAAUACCAACGAUUGUAAAUUUUCCUACCCAUGCUUACUUGAAACUACUAACAAAAGGGACCGCCAAAGAAAUGCUCUUGCUACGUACCCACUACAGCCAAUUAGCGAUGGCAAUGGCAUCAUGAUUUUUUUAUAUAUAAUUAUCUCGCACGAGUAAUGAAUAACUAUCGAUUUCGAAUUAAAUUAUCACUAUUGUGGCCAAUUAUUGAAUAUCUAGAAGGGUGUUCGACAAUUAUUGAUCUAGAAGGGUGUUCAUUUUUCACGAGCAGAUGGUUGGAUCGAAGAAGACGAGCUCUGAUUGACAACCAAUCGCAAGACAGUAUACAGCACACUUUAUAAAAGAUGUUUGUGACCCUCCACUGACUUGUGAUCCCUCGAUCGUGCAUUGUUGAUGGACAGCGUAAGCAGCCUUGGCCAUGGACAUUAACGACAAGUAAAAGAAAUGGGAAGGGAGGAGAGGAGAGGGGAGGAGGUUUUCAGCUGGUUAGGAAAAUAGAGAACAAGUUCUGACGAAUUUACUAAAAGACUUAAAGAGAGGAAAGUUCGUGAAGAUUUUCAAGGAUGGGUGGAUAAAUUAAAUUGCUAUUAAAAUAGGGGAUGAUCUAUCAAAUUUACUAUUGAUAUUAUGUUAAUGUUAUGAAAUAUAAUUAAUCAUCUAAUAAAUUUAGCUCUUACGUGGAUUUUUUUAAUUUUUUUUUUAAUGAUAUGAGAGGAUUUUGAGUUUUAUAGUUCCUAAACGUGCUUAAUUAUAUUUUUAUUUUCUUAAUCAAAACUUUAAAAAAAAAAACAGUUGAAAUCAAUUUGUAAAAAUGUCUUGAAAUAUUCCUCUAAAUGUAAAUGGCGAUAAUGUUCCAUCACAUGCAAUCUUGCUUGCAAUUGUUAUUAUUAUUAGUGGAAAGCUAUAUUUACUCGGUAUCCUCGUAUAAUUCCAAUAAAUACAAGUGAGGUUGGCUAACGACGUUGUUAAAUUCAUUUUUUAAGUGUUUUUUAAAUUAUUUUUUAUUGUAAAUCAAUUAAAUUGAUAUAUUUAGAUUUUUUUUAUGAUUUUAAUAUAUAUCCUUAUAUCUAAAAUAAAAAAAACUAAAAAAUAUCAUUUUAAUUAAAAGAUACUUUAACAAAAACACCAUGCAUGCAUAACUAAACACACUUAUAUUCUAACAAAAAUGUUCAUGUAGUAUUGUUUUACAUGAUAGAUAAUUAUUAAAACAAAUUAAAGGGCCUAGGGUUUCACUAUAGAACAAAACUUAUUAUAUUAUAGAUUGUAAUUUUUUUACCCUUCAUGUAGACCUCUAAGAAAUAACAAAAUUAAUGAAAUUUUUUUUUUUCACAUCGUUCAAUUUGUGUGUUUCAAAUUGAAUUGAUUAAAUUAUUCUUUUUAUAUUUUUAUUGUGUAAUGAAAUUUCUAAUUUACUCUUAGAAUAAAAAAUGAAUUACAUAGCUAAUAAAGGCCUUAUGGUCUUUUCAUUUUUUUAAAUGACUUAAAGAAUAAAAUACAUACUCUUUAAUUUGUAUUUAUUUUAUUUUUAGCACUCAUUAUUUUGAUUGCUAUUCAUAUUGAUUUUUAUGCUUUUUAAGUUUAUUUUUUCAAUUUCAUCCCUGUUUAUUUUAUUUCAUUUGUUUUUUGUUUCCAAAUGAGUCCUUAUUCUUUUAUAUAUUGUUGUUUUUUAUCCUCUUAUUAUUAUUAUUUUUAUUUUUCCACCCAACAUUUUAUUUUAUUUUUGCAUCCAAUUUUGGUCAUCAUUUUUUUAUUGUAAAUUUCAUUUUUUUUAUUUUUUAUUUUUUUUGUUUUUCAAUUUAUUUCCUAAUUAUUUUCUUUCAAUUAGUUUUCAUAUCAAAUUUGACCCCUCAUUGUUUUUAUUGCUAUUUGUUUGGCUUUUUAAUUUUUAUGUUUAGGAAUUUUAUUUCGUUAUUUUUUCAUGUUUGCCUGCUACGUGUUAAUCUUGGUCUCAUGACUUGAGUAAUUGGUUUUGAAUAUUAGCCCAGUUUAAAUUUGGUCUUCUUUUAGGUUUUUUUUUUUAUGAAUUGAUUUUUUUAUUAUUUUUAUUUUCAUUUUUUGAUAUUGGAUUCUUGGAAUUGAACUUCGUGAUUUGUCCUGUUUUUUUUUUUUAUGGGGUUAUCCUUAUCUCAUGUCUCGGGUAAUAGGUUUUGAUUUAACUUAUGUUGACUCAGAUUUUUCUCUCAAUAUUUUCUUUAAAAUUGAUUUUUUUAACUUUCAUACUUUGACAUUAAAUUAUUGAUCAUUGAGUUAUGUAGUUUUUUCACUUUUUUUUCUAUGAAGUUAUCUAGGGUUAAAAUUAGUCAAGUUAACCUGGAUAUACUUGAAUUUUUUUUAUUUAUGAUUUUUUAAAUUUAUUUAACUUUGAUUUUUUUUUUUAAUUUUAAUUUUUUUAUCUUAAUCUCAUUUCAUGUUUAGCGGGUUAUUUAAAUGUAUCUGGGUUGACUAAUGUGUUUUUUUUGUUUUUUUUUAAAUUGAUAUUUUUAAAUUUUAUUAUUUGAUAUUAAAUUAUUGAAUCUUGUCUUGUGUUUUCUGGUUUUUCCCACUUUUUUUUUUUUUGCUCUUAUCUCAAUAUUUUAUCCCAGAUUGCUUAUUAAUAAUAUUAUCUCGGGCUGAUUCAUAAUAUCAUCACAUGAAUAUUUCUUUUAUGUUGAAAUAAAUUUGACUUGGCCCUCAGCAUGACUUUUCUAGUGAGAAGCCAAAGAUGUGGUCUUUUUCCCACCACAAGUGACCUUGCAAUUAUUAAUGAGAAAGAUAGGGUCUUUGCAUGAUUCCAACCACUAUAAAACGCAGGCUCUCCAAGAGGUAUCAUCCAUGCAAUAAUAUAUAACUACAUACAGAUACAGAUACUUUAAUUGAUUGAGAGUGGAGAGAUCAUGGAGUGCAAGAAGGUUGGUUUGCUUCUCAUGGUGGCCUUGCUCGUAGUGGCCACUGUUCCUCAUUCCACGGUUGCUGCGAGGCAAGUUCCACUCUUAAACAUCAUGUUUGCUGAUGAAAUCAAUGAACGCUGUCUCCAUGAUGGCCAACGAUGCGAUAGAAAGGCUUGUUGUGCUAAUUUCGUUUGCGUACAAAAACAACAAGAUAAUGUCUGUGUACCAGAAAAAAAGGGUGAAGAAGAUGGGUGGUGAAGGUUUAAGAAACAUGGUGGGAUGCGCUGUUGUGUUUCUCGUGGUCUGUGCUUUCUUCUUCUUCUAGUUGUGUGUGCCUUUUUUCUUCUUUUUUUCCCUUCAAGUGCUGUGGCUUGUUAAGUGUGGGCUUUUUCAUGGCAUGUGCUUGUUAUCGCCGAUGUAUUAACUAGCUAUGUGUGAAAUAAGAAAUAAAAAAGC
rnacentral:lncRNA from 1 species